rnacentral:rRNA from 1 species
UACGUAGGGGGGCUAGCGUUGUCCGGAAUCAUUGGGCGUAAAGCGCGCGUAGGCGGCCAGAUAAGUCCGGUGUGAAAGUCACAGGCUCAACCUGUGAAUGCCGCUGGAAACUGUCUGGGCUUGAGUCCGGAAGGGGCGAGUGGAAUUCCUGGUGGUAGCGGUGGAAAUGCGCAGAUAUCAGGAGGAACACCAAUGGCGAAGGCAGCUCGCUGGAACGGUACUGACGCUGAGGCGACGAAAGCGUGGGGAGCGAACAG